rnacentral:rRNA from 1 species
UACGAAGGGGGCUAGCGUUGUUCGGAAUUACUGGGCGUAAAGCGCACGUAGGCGGAUCGAUCAGUCAGGGGUGAAAUCCUGGAGCUCAACUCCAGAACUGCCUUUGAUACUGGCGAUCUUGAGUCCGGGAGAGGUGAGUGGAACUGCGAGUGUAGAGGUGAAAUUCGUAGAUAUUCGCAAGAACACCAGUGGCGAAGGCGGCUCACUGGCCCGGUACUGACGCUGAGGUGCGAAAGCGUGGGGAGCAAACAGG